UCACGUCACAGUGGAAGGAGUGGAGGAGGAUGGCAUUUCAUGGCCAUCACAGGGAAGCAUUCAAGUGUUGCAGUUGUUGGGAUUCGUCCAGGUGCCAGACAGAUGACUGCCUCUGUUUUAAACUGACAUGACACGACCCAGGAGGUGCACACAUCGUAUUAACAGACAUGUCAGAGUCAACUUUCUCUUCUUUUCAUCCCAUAAAAUGGAAACAGUGAAGUUGUACAAUCUACUACAUGUCAAAAUUCUGAGUUUGGUGGAUUCCCAAAAGACUCUUCUUAUGUGUUGAAGACAAUCUGGUUUACAUCAUGUCUCCCAGUUACUAAUUUGACUUCUGAUGUGCCACAAUUUUGGAAAUUAGUGUUCCAUAAAGGAGGUAGGUGUUUGGUAGAUGUUUGGUUGGGGUUUGCUGGGCCAACUUUAGUCCUCUCUGAAGUGUUUGGUAGAGGUUCAGUAGGUGUUUGGUAGAGGUUCAGUAGGUGUUUGGUAGAGGUUCAGUAGGUGUUUGGUAGAGGUUCAGUAGGUGUUUGGUAUAGGUUUGGUAGAUGUUUGGUAUAGGUUUGGUAGAUGUUUGGUAAAGGUUUGGUAGGUGUUUGGUAAAGGUUUGGUAGAUGCUUGGUAUAGGUUUGGUAGGGGUUUGGUAAAGGUUUGGUAGAUGCUUGGUAUAGGUUUGGUAGGGGUUUGGUAAAGGUUUGGUAGAUGCUUGGUAUAGGUUUGGUAGGGGUUUGGUAAAGGUUUGGUAGAUGCUUGGUAUAGGUUUGGUAGGGGUUUGGUAAAGGUUUGGUAGAUGCUUGGUAUAGGUUUGGUAGAUGCUUGGUAUAGGUUUGGUAGGGGUUUGGUAGAUGUUUGGUAUAGGUUUUGUAGAUGUUUGGUAUAGGUUUGGUAGGGGUUUGGUAGAUGUUUGGUAUAGGUUUGGUCGAUGUUUGGUAUAGGUUUGGUCGAUGUUUGGUAUAGGUUUGGUAUAGGUUUGGUAGAUGUUUGGUAUAGGUUUGGUCGAUGUAUGGUAGAUGUUUGAUAAGUGUUUGGUAGAGGUUCAGCAGGUGUUUGGUAGGAGUUUGAUGCCCCGAAGCUUCACCGAGGUUCUCCUGUUUGGCCAAUUUGACAUUUUCUGGCUUCAGCGUCUCAGAUAUCACUUCAGUCGAUUCUCUUCGUUUGAUGCCCUCCCUGAAGUAAUACAAAUUGUGAUGUAAAAGACAAGAGCUCUUGAGGUCGUCAGGAAAAAGGAAAACACAGGCAAGAGAUCAACUGAGGUUGAAAUGAAACGUCCCUCACAACCGAUAAAAGCUGCAUGAGGAAAAUUAAAAAAAAAAAAAAAAGGAAAA